GGGCACUUUAUUUUGUGGAGGAAGGAAAAGGGAGUUGAAAAGAGAUGGAGGUAAAGGAAUUCAUAAUUGAUGGCCAAUGGAACUGAUAGAAUUUACAAGGAAUGCUAUCAGAGGAAAUGGUGGACUACAUUGCUCAAAACAUCAUUCCAAGGCUAAAUAAUGAUGAUAAUGACAGAGCUUGGUGGAUGAGCUACAACACUGAAGAAUUUAGUGUGAAAACAAC
rnacentral:lncRNA from 1 species